rnacentral:rRNA from 1 species
AACGAACGCUGGCGGCAGGCCUAACACAUGCAAGUCGAGCGAGGACUUCGGUCCUAGCGGCGGACGGGGGGGUAACGCGGGGGAACGUGCCCUUUGCUUCGGAAUAGCCCUGGGAAACUGGGAGUAAUACCGGAGGAGCCCAUAGGGGGAAAGAGUUUUCGGCGCAGGAUCGGCCCGCGUUGGAUUCGGUAGUUGGGGGGGUAAUGGCCUACCAACCCGACGAUGCAUGGCUGGUGUGAGAGGAUGAUCCUCCACACUGGGACUGAGACACGGCCCAGACCCCGACGGGACGGAGCAGUGGGGAAUCUUAGACACUGGGGGAAACUCUGGUCUAGCCAUGCCGCGUGAGCGAUGAAGGGCUUAGGGUUGUAAAGCUCUUUCAGCUGGGAAGAUAAUGACGGUACCAGCAGAAGAAGCCCCGGCUAACUCCGUG